GCCCCCUCUCUUCUCCACACGUCUUCUCUUUUCCCCUUUUCCUCCUCCUUCCCCAGUAGUACUAGAGGAGAGGAUGAGGCUCCCAUCCCAUGGCGAGCACCACGGCCACAGCUGAGAACCGGGAGGGGCGCCGCCGACAGCAGCUUGAUGCUACUCUACCCCGAACAUUGUUGCUGCUGCAAUCAUAAGGGCGAAGCAGCCGCUGUUGUUUGCGUCCUUGCCAUGGCCGCUGCUGUUGCAUCCUCGGCUCCUCGCCAUGGCUGGGAGAGGGGCGACACCGGCACCGGAACGGCGCGGUUGCAGCAAGGUUGAGGCAGCACCAUUGUUGUGACGGGGCACCUCCCUCAACUCCGGCAGCAAUGGAGCUUCAUCGGCGUGCCGUCGGUGCUGUGUUGGAGUUUUGCUGUGCCGUCGGGGCUGCAAUGAAGCGUCGCCCGAGGCUGCAAUGAAGCAUCAGUGGUGCUUCAAUGGAGUUUCGCCGGCGCAUCGCCGGGUCGUUAGGCUGCAAUGGAGCUCCGCCGGUGAUGCAUUGGAGCGCUGUUGGUGCUGCAAUGGAGCUUCGCCGGCGUUGUCGGUGCUGCGCUGCAGCUUCGUCUCGCCCCUGGGGAUUGCAAUGGAGCUUCACCAGGGAGGAGGGGGUGUCGUCGGGGGGCUGCACUCGAUGUUGCCAUGGAUAGCACGCAUCGGCUCCCCGUGCUGCGCCAGAUCGGACGUUCACCAGCGUCCAGAUCGUACGGCUGGUUAGGCGGAUGAUUUUCUGCACAAAUCAUCCGACUUAUCCGUAGUAGCCACCUUUUUUAUAUUAUAUCGUUCCGCGGUGUAUUUAAGGUUUGUGCUUUAUUUAUAAAAGGGGCCACGCACCUUUGCAUCCA